GAGUCAGAGAAUAAAAGUAAAAGAAAAAUAAAGUAUUUGGAACGCACUGAAACUAAAAUCAUUGAUUCUCGAACUCUCCUACGCGUUCAUUCUAUUUCAAUUUACAAAAUCAAAAGGCCUUUACACCGCACGAAUUUCCUCACCGGUUUCUUCCUUUAACCGAUCUUGACAAUGAGACUCUGUGACCAAACCAUAUUCUGUGUUUGAACAACGCAUAAACGCCUUUCGGUCAACUGUUUUCUCCAACAUCGAGCAAAUGUCAGACAUCUAGAUAACGCUGUUGGCCAAAACGUUAUCAGCUCUAUGUUCAUUCCUGCAAUUUCAGCAUUCUGUUUAUAAAAACGGGACUCACAGUUGAUAGCAAAGAUUUUACAGUGUUGGUAAAUUGUUUUAACAGGGAGCUCGACGAGAAGAUGAGAGGCGUAUUCCAUAGCUUCCUAGAGGAGCGAGGUGUGAACGAGAGUCUCUUCCCGUUUCUUCAGGCAUGGAUUUAUGUUAAGGAUCAUCGUAACUUGCUGCGAUGGUUCAAAUCAGUUGGCACGUAUGUCCAUGAAAAUCCAUCUGCGGAAAACAACGCCUAGGGGGUGGCUCAAUCAGAGGGACGUAUCUUUCUUUCAGUUUUUUGGUAGUUUUAUGCUGUAUUUCUUUCAUAGGCUGUUGCGUCGUCUAUAUGUUUAAUUUGGUGUCUCCCAUGUGUUAAAGUUGGUUUAAGAAGCUUUUUUUUUUUUUUUUUUGUUUAUGCAAUGAAUCUCGUUGAGUACUUGAGCGUUCAAACGGUCUUGGCUUUUAUUUUGCUGUGGAUUUACAUCAUAUAGCCUUUGUACUUGACUGAUGUAUGAUAAAAGGUUGGCAUUUUCAUGUUAUAUUUGGAUGUUGUAUUGUCUCAGCGUAAAAUGUUAUGUGGUUUUUAUGUAUUCUGAAGGUCAUCCUAUAUCUAAUUAUUACCUUUGUUGUUAGAGAAUUUUAAUGAUAUGUUUGCGCCCUGUUUGUGUGCCUAUCUGUUCUUUGGUUUCUGAUUGAGAUGCCUUUGCUUCUAAUGUGGCAGGAAAGUGAAAGUGAAGAAUAUAUUCUUGAUGAAGGUGAUGAUGAUGAUGAUUUGGAGGAAGAGCAUGAGACGCAGGUUCAUCCAGAAGCAGAGACUGAGGUGAAGAAGGCUCCUGAAGUUCCUGCACCACCUAAGGAGCCAGAGAGGCAGCUUUCCAAGAAAGAGCUGAAACAAAAGGAACAAGCUGAGUUUGACGCUUUGUUAGCAGAUUUUGGAGUUGGACCCAACAAUGGUCAAGAAAACUCUCAAGAUAAGCAAGAAAAAGAAAGAAGGAGAAUACAGUGGGAGAAUCAAAGGCCUCGAAGAAGAAGAAAAAGAAGGAUAAACAGAAGGAGGUAAAAGAAUCUCAGGAUGAAGUAAAGACCAACUCAGAUGCUGCUGCAGAGGAGCAGGAGGAGACUUCUUCUUCAAUGUUUAUCAAAGAAGGGGUAGGGGUUUGAAUUUAGGGAUGCGCCUUCUUAUUCAGAAAAUAACUGGGGUGGAGGCUUCCCUAGAAAAAUGGUUUUGGUCAAGUGUCUCUUUGCAGGUCCAGUGUAACGUAUUUGAAAGAGCAAAAGGAGAAGUUGCUUUGACUGCAUCUGGCGGGUUGAGGCAGUUACCCGGAUUGACUGAGACCUUUGAAAUUGCUGCGCUGGUUUGUGUGCACUAUGAUGGAUUGUUAGAUGGGAAAUGUCUCCUUGGGGUUAUUGGUACAUGACUGCAGAGAAUGAAACCCAUAUGGUGGAACUAGAGGCAAGAACAAACGAAGCGCGUGCACCUCUGCGCGCUCCGACCUCAGAAGCUGGUUAAAGAACAACAAAACCGGUUCUAGCUGCCCCUCUAGCUUAUGUGAUUUCAUGCAUGGUUGAUUUGAAGUCAUUUAGCCUUCUAAAAAAUAUAUUUUCGAAUAAAUUUAUUUCUGUUUCA